rnacentral:rRNA from 1 species
GAACGCUGGCGGCAUGCCUAACACAUGCCAGUCGAACGAGACCUUCGGGUCUAGUGGCGCACGGGUGCGUAACGCGUGGGACCCUGCCCUUAGGUUCGGAAUAACUCCCCGAAAGGGGUGCUAAUACCGGAUAAUGUCUUCGGACCAAAGAUUUAUCGCCUUUGGAUGGGCCCGCGUUGGAUUAGCUAGUUGGUAGGGUAAAAGCCUACCAAGGCGACGAUCCAUAGCUGGUCUGAGAGGAUGAUCAGCCACACUGGGACUGAGACACGGCCCAGACUCCUACGGGAGGCAGCAGUGGGGAAUAUUGGACAAUGGGCGAAAGCCUGAUCCAGCAAUGCCGCGUGAGUGAUGAAGGCCUUAGGGUUGUAAAGCUCUUUUACCCGGGAUGAUAAUGACAGUACCGGGAGAAUAAGCUCCGGCUAACUCCGUG